UAUGCUUGUAAUCCAAAUCACAUCAGCUGUGUGUUGCAGACAUAAGGAAUAUCAGAUCAAUCUCAGACCCCACUGAAGUGUUUCUGAAGAACCUGAAUCUAUUUAAGAGCUUUGAUAGAGCAGGAAAGAGUGGAGAGCAUAGAGGUGUCUGCAGUCUUGAGCCUGGGCUGAAUAAAAUGAGCUGUUCCUCUAUGCCUCACUACAAGAUACUGUGCUGACUGGAUGAUCCUGGAGUUCACGGGUGGCAGCAAAGACAUUAAACAACAUUUUACCUCCUUUAAAGAGAUGAGUUUCGUGGAUUAAAAGAGCCCUAGAAGGGGGCUUUCUCUAUAUGAUAUGUGUGAGCAUUGCUGACACUGCUGUUGUUUUCAUAUUCCUCUAGCAAU